rnacentral:rRNA from 1 species
AUACGUAGGGGGCAAGCGUUAUCCGGAUUUACUGGGUGUAAAGGGAGCGUAGACGGUAGGGUAAGUCAGAUGUGAAAGCCCGGGGCUCAACCCCGGGAUUGCAUUUGAAACUAUCCGACUAGAGUGCAGGAGAGGUAAGUGGAAUUCCUAGUGUAGCGGUGAAAUGCGUAGAUAUUAGGAGGAACACCAGUGGCGAAGGCGGCUUACUGGACUGUAACUGACGUUGAGGCUCGAAAGCGUGGGGAGCAAACAGGAUUAGAUACCCUGGUAGUCCACGCCGUAAACGAUAAAUACUAGGUGUUGGGGAGCAUAAGCUCUUCGGUGCCGUAGCAAACGCAUUAAGUAUUCCACCUGGGGAGUACGUUCGCAAGAAUGAAACUCAAAGGAAUUGACGGGG